GACGAACCGAGCGAACGUUGUUCGGAAUCACUGGGCUUAAAGGGCGCGUAGGCGGGCCACCAGGUCCGCGGUGAAAUCCCCCGGCUCAACCGGGGAAGGGCCGCGGAUACCGGGGGCCUCGAGGCGGGUAGGGGCGUGCGGAACACUGGGUGGAGCGGUGAAAUGCGUUGAUAUCCAGUGGAACUCCGGUGGCGAAGGCGGCACGCUGGACCCGGACUGACGCUGAGGCGCGAAAGCCAGGGGAGCGAACGGG
rnacentral:rRNA from 1 species